UGGGCCUCGACCCUCCUCCCCGCCGCAGCCCACCGCCGCUGCUCUAGCUCGCCCUCUCGUCGGCCCCGCCUCCGCGCUGGCUAGCCCUCCCUCCUCGGAGCCCGGCCCCGCCCCGGCUGACGGCGUGCUGCGUCAUCGCGCUGACGGGCGCUGACGCCACGGACGCGGCGCUGCCCUGACCUCGUUCCGAUUGGUUUCCCCGAAAGCCGGCAUCCCCGCGUGGGCGUGUGGGCGCGUGGGCGGUGGCGUGGAGUUUCCCGGGACCGGUGGGAAGGAGGGCACGGGUCGCGGUCUGGCCGAAAGCAUGAGAUCACGAGCCGCUCCUAGGCGCGCCUUCUGACGUCGCAGCCCCUCCGGGUCCCUGCUGGGGAGGGGCCGGGGCGGGACCCAGCCCUAUUGUUCUGAGACAAAGGAAGGAAAAAGCGCGAAGGAACGGAAGAAACUGCUUUUUAAAGGCUUCCCGUGUGCCCAGCACGGUGCUGAGAGGUGGGGUGUGGCGGGAGGACUUCCUAGGACGUAAAUUCUGACAGGAAGAGACAGCAAAAUGGAAGCGACGUGAGUGCCCAUCUGUGGGGGAAUGACUGAAUUCUGUCCGUAAAUACGAUCCUACCACCACCAGGAACUGUGCUUUACAAAUGCUCUCCUCACAACAGCUGAGGGAAGGAGGGGCUGUUAUUAACCCCAUUUUACAGAUGAAGAAACUGAGGCAGUCAAGUGACGUGACAGAGCUAGGAAACGUCCAAGACUGGACUUGAACUGGGGUCCUUCUGACUCCAGGCCCAGUUUUCUAUUCACUGGGCCACCUAGCUGCAGCUGGUGAAAACCAGGAGAUGGCUGGUCUGGACCCCUUCCUUAAACUGAGGUUUUGGCGUUUUGGCUCUGCCCUCCCGUUGCCACGAAAUAGUGUUUCACUGUAAGAAACAAUUAGGAAGGCAGAGAUACAUGGAAAGACUUGAAUGUGCUAAGUGAAACCAAAAGAGUACACACAGCAAGACUAAGAGGAUAUCGUAACUGUAGCAAUGUAAAUGGAAAAGAAACUAAAAUGUAAACAGACUAUGGUUAAUUGUUAUGACUCAUUGGUCACAGAGAGAUGAAAAAGAAUCUUUCCUGUAAGAGACUA